AUGAAAGAGAGACACAAGCCAGGAGCCAAUUGGACGACAUAUGACCUUGUUAAGGUCAAACUAUUCUCAGAAUCUCUGGAAGAGUGUGAAGGCUACAGUAGGUCCAGUGAUGAGCUCACUGACAACGGAGACAGUGAGCCCAACACACAAAAGAAGAAGAGGAGGAGGAGGAAGAGGAGGACGGGUGAGGGGCACGUUACCGGCACUGAUCAGAUACCUCAAGGAGGACCCAGUGGAGAUGGAAGGAUACACACAGGUGUGUCAGGAUCCUCAAACUCUCCUCCUCUGAAGAGGAGAGUGAUGACGAAAUCUGGAACCCUGGAGGAGAGUUCUGGAGCUCUAGAAGCAGAACCUCAGCUGGAUCCGUCUGAGCUCAGAGGCCUUGAUGACGCACUCAACAAGGAGAGCUACCUCAUAGAGGGACCACACUCUUCUGACGCAUGGGAUUCUGUUUUUCCAACCUCUCAGUCCAGAGAGGGAACAUUCCUAAGUGGACAGGAUAUGAUGGGAAACCUGCUGAAUUCAACCCAAAGUUUUCCUCUUCCAAAUGACCAGUUCCAGGAGCAGGUCCUGGGUCUGCUGGUGGACAUCAGACAGUCAGUGUGGGAUCUAGGAGGAAGGGUGGGAGUUCUAGAACACUGGGGUGGUUCUAGGGGUUCUGGAACAGAUUUCCAUUUUGACGUGUGCAGAACCUACGAGGACAUGGCCAACCUGGAGAAAGUUCUAGAGCCUCCUGAGGUAGCUGCCCAGAUGAAACAGUUCCUGAGCAGGAUCGGUGGGAACACCUUGAGGGAAAAUGUCACCAGGGUGAUGGAGAGGCUGAUGACCAAUGAACUGAUGAGUACCUUCAACAUGAAAGGAAGGAAAGGAACCAAGAAGAGUUUUCUCACACACUCCCUCAGUAAAAUCAUUAUUGACAGCAUCAUGAUCACCCACCCGUACGCCACAGAGUCUGCUGUGAUGCACCUGAUGGCCAACGUACUGAAGUACGCCCCAGACCGACGCGGAGGAGGAGGCAGACCCCCCAGACAGUCACCCCAGGUCCCCCAUACCCAGAGACAGCAACACAUCCAACAACACAUCAACAUCAAACAGGAGCAAGACUAUUAAUGCCUGGACACCUUCCUUCUAGCCUGCGUACCAGUCUGUUUGUGCUAUUAUUGUCAUGCCAAGGAGUGGGAUGAUAGCACAGACUGGUACCCAGGCUACCUUCCUACUCUACCUGGGUCAUAUUCACUAGUAGUCACCAAACCAUUGUUAAUUUCGUCAACAAAAAUAGUGACUAAAAUAUUCAGCAAGCACCUAUUUUUCAGUGGCAAUUGACAAGACUAUAACUGAAUAAAUAGACCCAGAAAAAGAACUAGAAAUAAACUAAAAUUAUAUUUCAUUCCAGUUGACUAAAACUGGACGAGAAUAAAUGAUCUGACUAAAAUCAGAUAAGUGGACUGGACAAUAGUUUUUGGAGAGAUUGAGAGCUUUUCUGUGAUAAGCACAAUUAAUAUUAGCAGUGGGAAGGACUUGCCACAUCACCUGGUGAGCUGGGGGGGGAGCAAGCAAUGAGUGUGGACAGACCAGCUCCACUCUGCCUUCGAUUAUACACAUCGCUCAGGCGACUCUCUUGCUUCCUCGUAGCUAACCAGUCACCACCAGCCUUCUGGUUAGCUACGCUUUGUCUGGUUAAGAAUCACAAGCUGCUUUAUGAAAUGAAAAACAAUAGCAGCGUUGAGUUUAAUAGUAAAACAACAGUCUAGCUCCCUUGAGUUUAGAAAAGUAGGCUGUCUUUGGUAUUUGUAGUCUCGCUCAACCCUCCCACUUUCCCCACUGCAUUUCAUAGCCAGGUUCUGUAGCCAAGACUCCCUCUUUUCCUCAGAGAAAAUGGCUUGAGAGAUUACCUUUCAAAAUAUAUGACUCAUAAUACUUGGACCAGGACUCGAGCACUGGGUCUCGGGUGUUCAGCCAUAGGGACUCGAACUUGAGCACAGAGGACUUGGGACUCGAUUGGGAUUUGAGGUUUAAUGACUUGACUACAUCACUGGGUGAAAUGGUCAUUAAAGCGGAACUACUUCCUGACAUCAGUGUGGCAUCUGGGAAAUGGUGAGAACAAUGAUGUGACGGAGAUGCAACCCACACUACUGUGUCAAUACGUGAUAGUACCUCGCCUCCUCCCACCAUCCCUCCCUGCGCUUGUGUCUGUUUGUUUUUUAUGUAAUGUGUAAUAUCUAUGUAGGCUGAAUUAGGAAUUUAUAUGGCCCGUUAAUACUUAAAUAUGUUUAUCAUAUUUCUGCUGCUGGGAAGACAAUAGGAUGUUAUGCAGAAAAAUGUUUGUAGGACAAGGCUAUGUAUGUUUAUGCACAUGGGAGUCUGAUUUAUGUUUACUAUGUGUUAAUGAGGCAAUACAAAUGUGAUGUGACUAAAGGGCAUUUAGUUGACGAGAAAAACUAUACUAAAUCAUUAUUCAAAUAACAAAAAUGUGAGGGAGACUUAAUUAUAAUUUAGUCAAACUGACUAAGAUUAGUCUAAAUCUAAAAAAUAGUGCCAAAAUUAAUACUGUACCAAACGGACUGAAACAGGUACUGCCUGGUCCCAGAUCAGUUUGUGUUCUUGACAAGCCCAUUGCUAUCAUUGUCAAGCCAAACAUGAUAAUUGCAUAAGAAGAUUGCAAGAGAGCAGACACAGACUGGCAUUGCAUCCAGGCUAACGCCUACUGUACUGUAGGCCUACCUGAUGUACCCUCAGCCACCUUCUGCUUUAAUGUUUCACAUAUAUUAUACAUGCACUGUAUCAUCCUUAUUUGCCUUUUUGAAUUUAAUAUUGAAUUUAGGAUUAAUUUAAUCGGUUUUUAAGUUAUGAAAAUUAAUUUUUGGAAUGAAUGAUUGGAAGUAGUAUUUUAUAAUGUACAAAGCCUUGACUUCUGGUUCUAAAUAAAAUGCAUGCCUUGAGUUAGCCACCGUGUGGUAUGUGGUUUAAGUAUAUUUGGUGAAAGGGAAAAAUGUGUGCAGGUAGUAUAAUGGAUAAUAAAGUAGGCGAUAACAUGAUUGUAUAUCAAAGAGAUUACAACUGAAAGUUAUGUAGUUUGCUGCAUAUUUAUUCAUGUUUACUGAGAUAAGAUAUACUCGCAUAGUCUGAAGAUAUGAUACAUAUUCUGCUCAUAGAAAUCGAUAAAGAUAAAAGAUCAAGUAUACGUUCUUCCAUUUCUAUGGUAGACGCGCCGAUAAGUGUCUGGCGCGCUGACGUCAUUUCCGUAGAGUGCAACGUGCAUGUUUGACAACAAGCUCUACGUGGAUUUCGGGAAGAUCUUUU
rnacentral:lncRNA from 1 species